GAUGAACGCUGGCGGCGUGCCUAAUACAUGCAAGUCGAGCGAACGGACGAGAAGCUUGCUUCUCUGAUGUUAGCGGCGGACGGGUGAGUAACACGUGGAUAACCUACCUAUAAGACUGGGAUAACUUCGGGAAACCGGAGCUAAUACCGGAUAAUAUUUUGAACCGCAUGGUUCAAAAGUGAAAGACGGUCUUGCCGUCACUUAUAGAUGGAUCCGCGCUGCAUUAGCUAGUUGGUAAGGUAACGGCUUACCAAGGCAACGAUGCAUAGCCGACCUGAGAGGGUGAUCGGCCACACUGGAACUGAGACACGGUCCAGACCCCUACGGGAGGCAGCAGUAGGGAAUCUUCCGCAAUGGGCGAAAGCCUGACGGAGCAACGCCGCGUGAGUGAUGAAGGUCUUCGGAUCGUAAAACUCUGUUAUUAGGGAAGAACAUAUGUGUAGGUAACUGUGCACAUCUUGACGGUACCUAAUCAGAAAGCCACGGCUAACUACGUGCCAGCAGCCGCGGUAAUACGUAGGUGGCAAGCGUUAUCCGGAAUUAUUGGGCGUAAAGCGCGCGUAGGCGGUUUUUUAAGUCUGAUGUGAAAGCCCACGGCUCAACCGUGGAGGGUCAUUGGAAACUGGAAAACUUGAGUGCAGAAGAGGAAAGUGGAAUUCCAUGUGUAGCGGUGAAAUGCGCAGAGAUAUGGAGGAACACCAGUGGCGAAGGCGACUUUCUGGUCUGUAACUGACGCUGAUGUGCGAAAGCGUGGGGAUCAAACAGGAUUAGAUACCCUGGUAGUCCACGCCGUAAACGAUGAGUGCUAAGUGUUAGGGGGUUUCCGCCCCUUAGUGCUGCAGCUAACGCAUUAAGCACUCCGCCUGGGGAGUACGACCGCAAGGUUGAAACUCAAAGGAAUUGACGGGGACCCGCACAAGCGGUGGAGCAUGUGGUUUAAUUCGAAGCAACGCGAAGAACCUUACCAAAUCUUGACAUCCUUUGACAACUCUAGAGAUAGAGCUUUCCCCUUCGGGGGACAAAGUGACAGGUGGUGCAUGGUUGUCGUCAGCUCGUGUCGUGAGAUGUUGGGUUAAGUCCCGCAACGAGCGCAACCCUUAAGCUUAGUUGCCAUCAUUAAGUUGGGCACUCUAAGUUGACUGCCGGUGACAAACCGGAGGAAGGUGGGGAUGACGUCAAAUCAUCAUGCCCCUUAUGAUUUGGGCUACACACGUGCUACAAUGGACAAUACAAAGGGCAGCGAAACCGCGAGGUCAAGCAAAUCCCAUAAAGUUGUUCUCAGUUCGGAUUGUAGUCUGCAACUCGACUACAUGAAGCUGGAAUCGCUAGUAAUCGUAGAUCAGCAUGCUACGGUGAAUACGUUCCCGGGUCU
rnacentral:rRNA from 1 species